UUUUGUAACAUUACUUAGUGCAACAUAUAGCCUCCCAUAAAUGCAAGAACAACUUCAACAUAUUCUCCUUAAUACUAGCACUAGGACUAGUGGGACCUCAGGACGCGCGGACCC